rnacentral:rRNA from 1 species
GUGGGGAAUCUUCCGCAAUGGACGAAAGUCUGACGGAGCGACGCCGCGUGAGUGAAGAAGGCCUUCGGGUCGUAAAGCUCUGUCAUCAGGGACGAAUGGCCGGUGGAGUGGAAAGCCACCGGAUUGACGGUACCUGAGAAGGAAGCCACGGCUAACUACGUGCCAGCAGCCGCGGUAAUACGUAGGUGGCAAGCGUUGUCCGGAAUUAUUGGGCGUAAAGCGCGCGCAGGUGGGAUCUUAAGUCCAUUUUGAAAGUUCGGAGCUCAACUCCGUGAUGGGAUGGAAACUGGGAUUCUUGAGUACCGGAGAGGAAAGCGGAAUUCCCCGUGUAGCGGUGAAAUGCGUAGAUAUGGGGAGGAACACCAGUGGCGAAGGCGGCUUUCUGGACGGUGUCUGACACUGAGGCGCGAAAGCCAGGGGAGCGAACGGGAUUAGAAACCCGGGUAGUCC